UGGGCCUGGCGGGAGUGCUGUGUGUAUACUUGUGGAAGACCCCGAGGGCAGGGAAUACAUGUGGCUAGGUCCACAUAGUCUUGUCUCCAUGUCCAAAUGAACAUCUAGUGAACACUGCCUAGCGUCUGCUAGCAAAUACACCUAGGAAACGCUGCCCACAGCUCUCUCCAUCACACGAUCCAUAUCCUUCCACCCACCCAAUUGGUCCUUUGUAAGGUGAACGCAUGCUGGGUACCACCACUGUGCAUGCCAGCACCCGGAGCAGCCUCUGCAGAUUGUCUUGGAAUCUGGGGGUUCAGGGUGAUCCCAACACUACACAGCUCCAGUGCCAGGCCCUCUGACCCUAGGUCUGCUUUGUUACUGUAAGGCCUGGGAGCUCUUCUCCUAGGGGACUUCCUGAUGAUGGCUCGGCCAUGUUUGUGGUCCCUUAGCUCUUGAUCCAGCAUGCCAUCUCUUGUUCCACAUCCUGGCUCCAGUCUGUAGCUCUCAUCCCCUAGGGCUCUGGCCCCCUAACACUGGAGAGGGUGAACACCUGGAGAAAUCGGUUAGGAUGUGAAACCCCCGCGCUCCAGGUGUUUUCUUUCCUGUGGAACUGCAGCCAGGAAGCCAAGCAGUGCGAUAAUGGAGUCUCGGUUUGCAUCUCUGCCACGGGUGACCUGUCUGACCUUGAACCAGUUACCCCUCCUUUCCGGGCUGCAGGGUCUCCUCAUCCGCACCGAAGGAAUCUCAGCACCUAUCCCGCGUGCUAUUUUCAUAGAGAAAUGGGGUUUGACAUGCGGUGAGGAGCCUGGGGCCUCGGAGAAAGGAAGAGACACCUAGAGUCACUCAGCAGUGAGGAGGUAGAAUCAAAAUUAGCCCCGUGAAAUCACAGAUCUCAAGAGGCUCUAGGAGAGACCUCAAGAGAUCAUCUGUGUGAGCUUUGCCCUCAGACAAGCAAGAUAGUGUGAGCCACAUCUUGUAGAUAAAGCAGGGAAGGGGGCCAAAGGGGAUAAGAGCUCGCUCGGUCCUCCGCUGCCUCAGCACGAGGCAGCGCUUUGCUCUCCAAUCCUCCCCUCGGGGAAAGACAGACAGAUUGUGGCACAGGAGCCCCGCACGGUCAAGACGGAAUUAUGAGAGCUGGGGACGGACGGCACAGAGUUGGCAGAGUGCUCGCCUGACGGUCGCAAGACCCUGGGCUCCAUCACAAGUGCCACGAAGCAACAA